AAACUGCGAUAAGUAGUGUGAAUUGCAUUUAGUGAAUCAUCGAAUCUUUGAACGCACCCUGCACUCACUGGUAUUCCGGUGAGUACGCCUGUUUCAGUAUCAUUGAAAACACACAAUCAAAACAUUUUCUUUGGUUUGAUUGGCUUUGGGUCUAUCAAAAAGUUUGGCUUGUUUCUUACAAGCCAAGCGGCCUUAAAUAUAUUGUCUGGCUAAUUGCAUCGUUGAUGAUCGCUAUUAGACUUUGGCUUUUUUAAAUGAACUGGAGGUUGAUUAACCAGUUUUAGCUUUAGUCAAAUGGUCAUUGUAAAAAAAAUCUCGAUCUUGGCUAGGUGUUUAUAGCCGAAAAUUUUUUUUUGGCUAUAACCGAAACCAAUAUAAUCACAUUUAGUUAUCGAUCUGAAAUCAGGUGGGACUACCCACUGAACUUAAGC
rnacentral:misc_RNA from 1 species